ACUGGGUCUGCAAGGAGAGAGGCUGUGGGGGCAGGGAGGAGGGUGACAAGGCAGGAUACAAAUCAGCAGCAGCCAAGCUGUUCCUUGCUAGGCUCGCAUUCAGUCACUCACACCUUAGUAUAAGUUAGUUUCAGGUUAUUCUUUCCACCACCCUCUUCCCCCGCGACACUACGCAGAGCCGCUUCCCGUGAGCCUGAGGUCUGCCUCCUUGACAGAACCUGAACACCAGGAGCAGGGACAGGUCUUCAAUAUCCUUUGCCAGGGGCUUAUAGGAGCCUGCUCGCAGUCCUUUUUCCUGACUGCACACAUCUCCAACACAUUCAGUUCAGCGGCAUCAAGUUGGUAGCUUGAAGUCAGCCACAGUGGGAGCAGUCACCACAAAUCAGGGCUUUUUUCCCCCAAGAGCCAACUGGUAAACACCUACCAGCACCCCACUCGUGAGGGCCUGUGGCCUUCUGUGGAUAAACCCACCACAGACUGGCUGGCUGGGUGGGGGUGGGACUGAAGUGUGACAUGGCGGGUGGGGGAGACAAGGCUUUCUUGGUCAUCUACGGGCUGGCUGCGCCUGAACCGCUCCUCCUCCCCACCAACUAGGAAGGGGAAGCUGGGGCCACAGAACAUCUGCUCGACCUGGCACGUUUUCAGCUCUGUGAUGCACAACCCAGGCACGCGAGGACCCCCCACAGGACCCAGCAUGCCCCUGGGGUCACGGACAGAUACCUAGAUACAGACAAGAUAGAAGCCACAAAACCCAUCAAAUGAAAGCUGAUAAGGAGGCCCAGUACCUAGAGCAGAGCCACCCGGCUGAAGCCCAGAAGGCCCCUGGCCUCCUCCGCAACCUCCGCGGCCCUGGCAUCAGGCCGACGUGGGGUGGGAUUCCAGCUCUGCGGCUGCCCGGCCACACGACCUGGCUCCGUUUCCCCAUCUGAACCGUGGGGAUGAGCCCUUCCUUGCUGGGAUGUGUGAGCACUGAAUGAGGCGAGCUACAUAUGGCCCCCAGCCUCAUGGCUGAGACUGCACAACGCCCAGCGAAUGGCUGCCGACGGACAGCCCUGCGCCAGGCCUUCCGGAGCCUGGGCUGAGUGGUGCCCUGGCCAGGGAGCCUCGCUGGCUGAGCUGAGAAGAUGAGGGGGCAGGUAGGGCAAGUACCUGGCUGGCCCCGGGCCUGAGUGGGCUGAACGGGGCUCAGGCCAGGCUGGGGGGCCCCUCGGCGGGUCCGGCCAUGGAGACCAAGGCUGGGGCUGUUCUUGGCUUUGCCUUGCCCUCCAGGGAAGGGGACCGCAGGGCUGGCCAGAGGCUCGGAGCUCUUUGGAUGCUUGGAGUGGCCAAUACCAUUGGCUGACAGGCUCCAGGACUUGGCUCUGAUGUUGGUGACUGGCAGCAGGGCCAUCUGGCUGGGGCCUGUGGAAAGAAUGAGGGAUAGGCUGAGCAGAGGGAACUGGCUGUCUCCUGUCCUGCUUUCUCUAACACUUCAGCAGACUCUGGGUGACGCCCCUCUGUCUUUUCGUCCCCUCGGGGAGACCCACCAAUCUCUCCAGAGCCCCAUUCUGGGCUCCAGGAUACCCUCCCCCCAAUGAGACUUCGGGGCCUUUCUCGGGACUCACAUAAAACCCCCUCAACCCAAACCCUGGACCCGGGAUAGCCAUACCUGAGCGGUUGGUGGACGGGCUGGGACUGGGGCUGAGCCCGUGGCCAGGGUUAAAGCUGGGGCCAAGACUCGGGGCAGCGAUAGGGCUGGGGGUGGGCGAGGAGCAGCAGACGACUGGGCAAGGGCGGCUAGAGCACAAGUCCAAGGUGGGGAUGACCGGACCUGGGGCCGAGCUGGUCGGGCCAGUGGCAACUGAGGAAGCCGGAGGCUGUAUGAGCUACAGGCGGGCAGCUGAGUCCCCGCCCACAACACCGCUCCCUUCCCCCACCCCCACCCCCCAGACCCCCCAGCACGCACCCAGCAGCAAGGAGGGCAGUGUGCCUGGCAGCCCAGUGGUCCCGGGGGACUGUCGGAGCUGGGUGGUCCCGAAGCUCUGGCUGGACCUGCUGGGGAGGGGCGAGCUGAGCUCAGAGGGACUGCCAGAGCCUGAGCAGGGAGGCCUGGGAGUCCCAGAGAAGUGGACAGGAGAGACAGAAGGGACAGGAGGAGGUGGACAGGAAUGGCAGAAAACAGGCAGGGAGCUGGAUGGCAGGAGCCAGAGGUAGGAGGGAGGGGGCUUGGUCCAGACACGUACCAUGGGCACAUGGCCUCACUCCCCCCAGGGUGCUGGGGCCGGAGCAGGGCCAGAAGACAGGAAGUGGACACGGCAUAAGAGCUAAGGGGCGGCAGAGAGGAAAAGGACGGGGGGGACAGGUGCAGGGGAGGAGAGAGAAAAGACACGGUCAGAGAUAGCCUCGGAGCUGAGGUGACAGUGGGCAGACAGAGCCCAGGGUCCCACCCUGGCCCUCCUUCCCUGCCAACUCCCCCUUCCAACCUGGGCCCCUCAGAUGCCCCCUGACUCGCAGAGGCCCAGCUACCUCAAGGAGCACUGAGUAGAAACAUUGGCUUCAGCAGGGACCGCGAAAAUGCUGCCCCUCCUCCAGGGAGACCUUCCCACCCGGCCCUGCAAGCCCGGGCGGGCUGAGAGCCUGAGGCGCGGUCCCCUUCAGAGGAAACAGCUUCCACAGCUCCGCUGCCCCUGGGCUGCCCACCAAAGCCCCACCUGUCCUGGCAGCCUGGCCGGCAGCCAGGCCUCCAGUGACAUACCCAUCAGUUUCUACCAGGUCCUCCUCGGUGCGCAGGCUCAGCACGUAUAGUGUGGACAUGGACACCACGCUGGGAGCCACAAAAAAGGGCCACUGUUAGAGCUGCCACCACGGUCCCCGCCCUCUCUCUAGGGCAGGGUCUGUGGACCUCGGCUCCAGGGGCUGGGCUUGCGAAUGAAUGAUGCCUCUCCACGGUCUCCCCCCGCCCUCGGGGCAUGGGACAGAAGGAGGCAGCCCGCUUCCUUCCCUGAGACCUCAGCCAGGUCUCAUCUCCCAGCCCCAACUUCCUCCUCCUCCAGGCCUGGGCCCAAGGGCAGCUCACCUCCCCCCAGCCAGCCACGCCUGGAGCCCUGGGCACAAGUCACCUGAAGGCCAUGACCACCACCAGGGCAAUGAUGGUUCCCUGCAGGAAGCGCUGGCUGAUGCAGGCCUGGUCUGGGACCACAGAGGAUGACUGAGGACCGACAGGAAAAGGGGAAGAAGCAGAAAAGGCCCAGACUUAGGGAGCCGUGGUGUCCCUCGGUGUGGGCUCUGCUGGAGGGGGUGGUGUUAAGGUCUCAUGCCUACGGUGGGAGUGAGGGGAUGGACAGAGGGAGAGGAAGGAGAAACGGGGCCAGAGAGCUAGAGAGCUGGGAGGAAAGAGGAGCCCUCGCAGUCAGAGAGCCUGGAGAGCGAGGGCCCGGCCCAACGUGCCUCCCCUCUCCCAUCCGUGCCCACCCUCACCUUGCUGGCCACCUUGGGGGGCCUCUUCUUGUGGGGGACACUGCCCGCCCGGCUGAACUGGCUCCCUGCACGGCUGCAGCAAGAGGGCCAGGGUCAGAGGUGCCUCUGGGAAGGGGGUCUUGCCCCCGCCUGGCCCACGCCCCCACCUGAAGGCGCCCGAGCUGCCCGUGGACUUGAGGCUGUCCAGCCGCCGCAGCUUGGCCAGCUUGUGGCUCCAGCGCUCUAGCUCGUCAAUGCGCGUCUCCAGGUUGUCCGUCAGCUUGCACAGCUCCUUCACGGCACCCACGUUCUCCAUGAAGAUGCGCUCCUGCCACGGGCGGUGGGCGCCGUCAGCCCCUGGGGAGCCCUGGGCUAUGGGGAGCGGCCGCGGGGAGGCCCUCCAAGCCUCCCUACCCAGGCCAGCCCUAGCUCCCCCAGCUUCCUGUGCCUGCCUCCAAACAGCUGCCCCACCUCUGCACCAUUGCUUGGGCCACCCGUCCAGCCGGAACGGCCCUUCCUGCCCCUUCGGAACAGUCUCUCGGAGGCGCCCAGCCUCUGAUCUCAUGAACGUGGGGUCGCACGCUUUGGCUCCUUAGUAUUCAGCCGAGGCCAAAACCUAGGACUUCACCCUCACCAUAAGCCAUGUUUAAGCUUUGCCAUAGCCACCUGAGAGGGUCUUGGCAGUGACUCUUUAACCUCCUUUCGAAGGGGAGGAAAAUGACCCCCGGUGAGCUUCGUCUUGCUGUAGACCACACAACAAUAGUGUCGCCAAGUCCCCAGCUGGCCCUUGGAUGCUCACCCCCUUCCCUGGGGGGUGGGGAGGGGGCUCUGGACGCAUGAGAGAAGACUGGGCUGCCCUCGCCCCCUGCACUUCAACGCUCCCAGUCUCCAAGGGGGAGAUGAAUGCCCUCCAGCUGGCCCACCCCCUGCCCUUGGGCCCUCCAAGUCCUCCCACCCUGCAGACCUUGUUCACCACCAAGAAGUUCUCUAUGGUUUUCCCAUUGGCAAAGACCAAGUCUCCAGUGUCCUUCACGGCCUCAGGCAGGAUCUCCUUCACUUCCUGGGCGAUGACACCUGGGGAGUUGGGGGGCAGCGGAGUGGGGUGGAGAACGCCCACAGCACCAUCAUGUAAGGAGGGGGCCCGGUUUGAGGAGGGUGAAAUUCUGGGGGCUAGAGAUUUGGGAUCCAAGGCACCCUGGAGCAGGGAGCUCCGACGGACAAGUGUUCAGAAGGUUGCAGUUCCGGGGCUCAGGUAUGGGGUUCCCUGGCCUGGGGCAAGGGUGGAUUCCUGGGAGGAAGGAUCCCAGUGGAAGUGGGCAGAGAUAAAAGCAGGAUUCACCUAAAAAGCCGAGGAUCCCGGGACCAGGAUUCCCGGACUUCUAGUGUCAAGGGGGUAGCUAGCCGACACCCGGGGAGGCCCGAUUUUCCAAGGGCUGAGGGGUGGGGCUUCUAGAGGGCAGGAUUCCCUGGGUAGGAGUUCCAGGAGUCAAGGAGAGGGGUGCCUGGGAGUGGGGUUUCCAGAGGGCUGGGACAGGGGGCGGGGUGACUGAGGGCCGAGGUUGCCGGGUUCCCGGACCCCAGCCCCAGUCCGCGCAGGCUGGUCCCUACCGGUCUCUGGUGCCGUGGCCUCGAUGCCCGCUGUGGCAGCAAACUCCGGCUUGUAUCUGUAGUGCACCAGCCGCAUGCGCGAGAUCCUCUUCAGCUGCUCCGUGGUGUCCACCUGCCCGGGAGCCAGGACCGAGACUGAACCCCUUCCCUCCUGGGCCCAUCCGAGGUCCGAGGGGUGCAUGAGCGAGCCCAUGACCUUGACGUUGCCGUGCACUACCAGCGCCUCGUCGGGCCGGUCCGUGUUGAUGCCCACACGGCCAUGAUGGAAGACAGUGUCGGGCACC